CAGGGAACUAUAUAAAAGCUUGAAUCAACUCUUGUCUGUCUUCAUUGACAUUGACUCUGUUCAGUAAGUCAGUGCUGGUAUAAAGAACAGCAUGUUUCCUGUCUGGACUCUCAGCUCUCUGAUCCUUAGCUACACUCUUGGGUUACCCAUCUUCAGUAACUCCAGCAGAGGAUCUUAUAUGGAGACGUUUCCCAAUGUUACAAUGAGGAACUUCACAGAAUCUAAUGAGAUCAAUCAGACCAGCAGAGGACCUUACAUGGAGACUGUUCCCAGUGCCACAAAUUUCAUGGGAAACAGGUCAUUCUUUUUCAUGUCCAUACGCGGAUGUAUGCUUCCUACCUGUAUCGUGCAUAGACUGGAUGAGAUGAAUAGUGGGGAUGAAGCAGCAGGAACGAUCACAGGGGACCCAUGGGGGCCUGGGAAAAAAUAAGAGAUGCACAGGAGAAAAAAGAGAAAAAAAAUUUAUUUGAUUGUUUUUAUAUAGAUUUAAUUGUAAAAAGUCUAUCCUUUGAGCCUUUUUACAAUUAAAAAAAGAACAAAUAUAUAAAUGCAUGUUAUUAAUGUCAUCUCUUCACACCAAUAAAGAAUUUUUAUUACUAUC